GUUGGAUGUCAAGAGUAGAUAAUGUUGAUGACUAAUGGAAGAGUAGUUUAUACAGCGUGGAUACGCUGGGCAAAGAGAUGGUUCACAUUCCACUUGGAGCAGGAUGGUGCAAGAUUUCAUCACACUUCUCAGAACAACACACAGUUUAAAACUUAAUGACUUUUUUAUUUCUGGAAUUUCUCAUUUAAAAUUUUUGGACCACAGUUGACUGCAGGUUGUAAAGCUCUCUGAAAUAGUGACCUUAGCGAAGCAAGCACAUGUGGAUGUGAAAUUUCAGUUGCCAAUAUGAUCUGAAAACCCAGUGGAUGGCUGAAGUUGCAAAGCCUAGACCAAGCCAGCUUGAUUCUGGCACUUGGUAGCAGAUGCCCAUGAAGGGGAAAAAUAAGCAGGCAAAAACCAAAAAACAGAAACCAACUCUCAAAACUCCAGCAGAAGGCAAUGAAGCUGUUAAUAUUUUGGAGUUGAUUGACCACCAGUUGAGAGCCUGCAGUUCAUCAGUUGAGAGUGACAAUUCCAGAGUGACCAGCUGAGCAUAUAUGCAGGAGGAGAUAUCUUUUUAUGGCUUAGCAGAAUGCUGCUCAAAGCGCCAGUCUCUGAAGCUCUUUGUUCCUGACUUGCAACCAGGUACUUUAGAUUUUCUACAUCUAAUGGUGGCAAAUAAAUCCACUAGCUGCCAAAUACAUGGGAAAUGAUCUGUGAAAACCACAAGUGGCCCAACAAACUGUACGUCUUCAAUUUGACAGCACAAAGGAAUUAUUGAACAGAAGCUGAAAAAGCA
rnacentral:lncRNA from 1 species